UGUUUGAUCAUGGCUCAGGACGAACGCUGGCGGCGUGCUUAACACAUGCAAGUCGAACGAGAUUCAGUGAGUAGCAAUACUCACGAAGAUCUAGUGGCGAACGGGUGCGUAACACGUGAGGAACUUGUCCCGGUCUCUGGGAUAACAGUUGGAAACGACUGCUAAUACCGGAUGACGUCGGAACUUCGCAUGGGGUACUGACGAAAGGGUUACUGGAUCGGGAGAGCCUCGCGGCCUAUCAGCUUGUUGGUGGGGUAAUGGCCUACCAAGGCAUCGACGGGUAGCUGGUCUGAGAGGAUGAUCAGCCACACUGGGACUGAGACACGGCCCAGACUCCUACGGGAGGCAGCAGUGGGGAAUCUUGCACAAUGGGCGAAAGCCUGAUGCAGCAACGCCGCGUGCGGGAAGAAGGCCCUCGGGUUGUAAACCGCUUUCAGAAGGAACGAAACUGACGGUACUUUCAGAAGAAGGUGCGGCCAACUACGUGCCAGCAGCCGCGGUGACACGUAGGCACCAAGCGUUGUCCGGAUUUAUUGGGCGUAAAGAGCUCGUAGGCGGUUCAGUAAGUCGGGUGUGAAAACUUUGGGCUUAACCCAAAGCGUGCAUCCGAUACUGCUGUGACUUGAGUACGGUAGGGGAGCGGGGAAUUCCUAGUGUAGCGGUGAAAUGCGCAGAUAUUAGGAGGAACACCGGUGGCGAAGGCGCCGCUCUGGGCCGAAACUGACGCUGAGGAGCGAAAGCAUGGGUAGCAAACAGGAUUAGAUACCCUGGUAGUCCAUGCCGUAAACGUUGGGCACUAGGUGUGGGUUCCAACCAACGGAAUCCGCGCCGUCGCUAACGCAUUAAGUGCCCCGCCUGGGGAGUACGGCCGCAAGGUUAAAACUCAAAGGAAUUGACGGA
rnacentral:rRNA from 1 species